UUAAGUGGCAAAAAAAUGGUCAAAGGUCAAAAUGAAGGCUUUUUUAAAUGAAUUUGCAGUAAUUAUAAAAAGCGAGUCAACAGUCAGCAAUAAAAACAACAAAUAUCAGCCAGAGGAAAAGAAAAAGAAAGAACAAAAGAGAACAAGUGAAAAAACACUUUCCUAAUGGAACUUUAUGGUAUCUGAGUAAAGCUCCAUCACCAAAGUCAGACCCAGACAUGUCCUAGUCCACGCAAUCUAAACUGUCCUGUAGCGUAGAAUCUAAACUGUACCACCAGCAUUGUUUGGUUCUGAGGGCGGGUUUAAGUUUGCACGAGCAGGAGGGAAGCGUGAUCUGAUUUGAAGACAGGGCGGGGGGUGGGAUUUGUAGGCAUCCCAGAAGAAGUCCACUAUGAACAUCGCUGACUCUCUAGUGGUCGAGUUUAAUAGCUGUUACUGAGAAACUACAUGCUGCUAGAUCAGCCAAGCUGUCAUCUGUCCUCAUCCUACUCGACCUGUCAGCAGCGUUUAACACAAGACUUCAGACUUGGAAUUCAUCGAGCAGCAUGGCAAUGAUCUGAGUCUGGACCUGGUUUUGUACUGAACACACAAGUUCAUUAGAUCACUUGGUGUGAACAGGAACGAUGAUCAGACUCUUUGUCGCUCUUUGUGCUCUUUUUUCUCUCUUCACAGCUGUGAAAACUUCUGACAUCAAGGAGAUUGACGUGAUAACAGUAAAGCGUGGAGAAGAUGUAACUAUGAAGUGUAACAUUAGCAGUGACA